GUCUUGUGAGACACGUGUAGACGUUUGCGUCUUCGUCUCUUUCUCUCGCUCCACGAAAUCACCCCGUUUCGCUUUCCCUUCCUCAACGACUCCGCAAAGCUCUACCUUUCCUCGACGAAUCCGUCUGUGUUUCUUCAUCUCUCAACGAUCGGUGUCUCUCUCUCUCGGUGGACUGGUCUCCGCCUCUCUCUCGACGGCUCACCUCGGCGUCUUCUCUCGGUGAAAGAUGGGACUCCAUUGAAGACACAAUCAGAAAUCCUCUGGAGAGAUAAUCGAUCCUCUGUCCAAACUCAAUAAAGAUAAGAUUUGCUCUUCUUGGCUUUUGAUUCUGAUAAUGGUUGAAUAUCGGUAAUAAAUGUUAUAGUUUGUGGUAGAUAAUGGUUGUGUUAUAGGUAAUAAAUUGAAGUAGAAAUCGAUGAAACUAUAGAAAGGAUCAAAUAAAGCUUCUGUUUGAUGUUCUUCCAGUCUCAUUGUUCUGUCUCUUCUGUGUCUUGAUAAAAAAAAUUUCUGUCUUUGUGUGGUCAGAUGGAUGCUUCAAGAGCUCCCGUUUGAUCUGUUCUGCCUUUCUGUCUUUACAUGAAUAGAUGAAAAAACAUGAGCAAGGUUCACGUUGGCAAAGGAGUUCAAUGCUUUACAGUCUACUCUGAUCCAGGGAUCUAUGAGCUAAGUUGAUCUGAUUUGACAAGGAGUAAUCAGUACUUCAAGCUCACCACAUCACCGUCUCUAUUAGAUUCACGCAACAUACCACCAUGGUCUAUAUUGCAGAGACCAUUAAUCCAUUACCAACGGAGGUCUUCAUGUUCCGCUUUUAGGAUGAGAUAUGGUGGUACUACCAAACACAGACACAUACUUACCAGGUUGUGUCUUCCUAAACGCUACAUCAGGCACAUAUUUCUACUUUGACACACAGAGCGUUUUUGAAGCGUAAAAUCCAAACUCUCCAACUUUAUCUUUUAACCAAAUUCGUUUCUCCUGCUUAAAUUUUUUGAUUGAAACAAGAAAUGUUCCCAAGAUGUCUCAACUUCCUCAAGUUCAAAGGUAUAAUAAUUUUUUUUUUUAAGAACCCGAAAAUAAGAUACUUGCAAUGGAGGGGGAAAAAGUCUCAAGUUUCUUA